GUCUGCAGCCGUGCCACCCUGAACAAGCCCAAUUCCCUCUGAUCUCGGAAGCUAAGCAGGGUCGUGCCUGGUUUGUACUUGGAUGGGAGACCACCUAGGGUGCUAUAGGUGUUUAAAAAA
rnacentral:rRNA from 1 species